GAUUUCUUGUUAGCAAGGACGGGAUUGUUGAUCACAACUGAUUCGCAUCAAACUUUGUACAUUUACGUAGCCGAGUUCAACCUUGAAUAGCCUCUAAAAGAUCUCUGUGUGAUCAAUUCGCAAAAAAAAUGUCUGAAGAUAAGGGAUUCAGUAUGGAAGAAAUUAUUUCUGAAAAGCUUUCCCUUUCACCAUUCAAAUCGCAUCUUUCUCAGCACGUUGUACCCUCGUCUUUAUUCUGCAAGCACAAGGAUUGUGGACAGAUGACGUCGUUAUUUGUGGAGUCUGAGAGCUCGCACUCUUCUUGGUCUUGCGGUUUUCUCCACUGGAUUUUGUUUGGAUUUAUAGUUGUGGUGAUUGCUUGUGGGAUUUUGACUGUCUUACGAUGUUUCCUUAGAUUCAGGCACUACAAAAUGACUGAAAGAAAUAGACAACCACUCUCUCCUUCGCACAUAGUAUUUUUCUCGACAACAAACAUCAACGAAAAGGCCUUGUCGAAAUGAAUCUAUUGAUGAAUCUAUUGACUGCAACGCAAAGUAAGAAGAAUUACACGUGAAAUUAUGACUUAUAUUUUACAUUAUUUAACACACAUUUCUAUAUGAUUAUAUUUAAUAUAUCUAGUAAUAUUAGAAUUGUACAAUGACAAUGUACAAAAUGUCGAUAAGCUUAGCCUAUAUUGCAUGUCUUAUACCUGUCUGGGGUCGGUUGUUCGA